CUUAGCCCUAAACUUCAAUAAUUUUCUAACAAUACUAUUUGCCAGAGAACUACGAGCCACCGCUUAAAACUCAAAGGACUUGGCGGUACUUUAUAUCCACCUAGAGGAGCCUGUUCUAUAAUCGAUAAACCCCGCUACACCUCACCACCUCUUGCUAAUUCAGCCUAUAUACCGCCAUCUUCAGCAAACCUUAAAAAAGAAUAGUAGUAAGCAAGAAUAUACAUCAUAAAAACGUUAGGUCAAGGUGUAGCCAAUGGGGUGGGAAGUAAUGGGCUACAUUUUCUUCUCAAGAACAUACGAUACUCUUUAUGAAAUUAAAGAGCGAAGGAGGAUUUAGCAGUAAAUUAAGAAUAGAGAGCUUAAUUGAACCGAGCAAUGAAGUA
rnacentral:rRNA from 1 species